rnacentral:rRNA from 1 species
GUAGGGAAUAUUGGGCAAUGGAGGCAACUCUGACCCAGCCAUGCCGCGUGCAGGAUGACGGCCCUCUGGGUUGUAAACUGCUUUUAUACGGGAAGAAAAAAUACUACGUGUAGUAUACUGACGGUACCGUAAGAAUAAGGAUCGGCUAACUCCGUGCCAGCAGCCGCGGUAAUACGGAGGAUCCAAGCGUUGUCCGGAUUUAUUGGGUUUAAAGGGUGCGUAGGCGGAUCUUUAAGUCAGUGGUGAAAGCCUGCAGCUUAACUGUAGAAUUGGCAUUGAAACUGAAGAUCUUGAAUGUGGUUAAAGUAGGCGGAAUGUAUCAUGUAGCGGUGAAAUGCUUAGAUAUGAUACAGAACACCGAUAGCGAAGGCAGCUUGCUGAACCAUUAUUGACGCUGAGGCACGAAAGCGUGGGGAGCGAACAGGAUUAGAAACCCGAGUAGUCC